rnacentral:rRNA from 11 species
AACUCAAAUGAAUUGACGGGGGCCCGCACAAGCGGUGGAGCAUGUGGUUUAAUUCGAUGAUACGCGAGGAACCUUACCUGGGCUUAAAUGGGAAAUGACAGUUUAGGAAACUAGACCUUCUUCGGACAUUUUUCAAGGUGCUGCAUGGUUGUCGUCAGCUCGUGCUGUGAGGUGUCGGGUUAAGUCCCAUAACGAGCGCAACCCCUAUCUUUAGUUGCCAGCGAGUAAUGUCGGGGACUCUAGAGAAACUGCCGGUGCAAACCGAGAGGAAGGUGGGGAUGACGUCAAAUCAUCACGGCCCUUACGUCCAGGGCUACACACGUGCUACAAUGGCGUAUACAGAGGGUAGCGAGCGGGUGACCGUAAGCCAAUCUCGGAAAGUACGUCUCAGUUCGGAUCGGAGUCUGCAACUCGACUCCGUGAAGUCGGAAUCGCUAGUAAUCGUGAAUCAGAAUGUCACGGUGAAUACGUUCCCGGGCCUUGUACACACCGCCCGUCACAUCAUGGGAAUUGGUUCUACCCGAAGACGCUGUGCUAACUUCGGAGGCAGGCGGCCACGGUAGGAUCAGUGACUGGGAUGAAGUCGUAACAAGGUAGCCGUAGGGGAACCUGCGGCUGGAUCAC